AUUGAACGCUGGCGGCAGGCCUAACACAUGCAAGUCGAACGAGUAGCUGACGGGUGAGAAAUGUCUGGGAAACUGCCCGAUGGAGGGGGAUAACUACUGCACACGGUAUCUAAUACCGCAUACCAUCGGAUGUGCCCAUAUGGGCUUAGCUAGUAGGUGGGUUAACGGCUGACGUAGUCGACGAUCCCUAGCUGUUCUGAGAGGAUGACCAGCAAAACGGGCGCUGAAGCAGGGUCCAGCCGUCUACGGCAGGAAGAAGGGGGGAAUAUUGAACAGUGGGCGCAAGACUGUGGUAGCCAUGCAGCGUGUAUGAAGAAGGUCGUUGGGUUGUCAAGUACUUUCAGCGAGGAGGCGUUCCUCGCAGAAGAAGCCCCGGCUAACUCCGUGCCAGCAGCCGCGGUAAUAC
rnacentral:rRNA from 1 species